rnacentral:rRNA from 1 species
UAGAGGAAGUAAAAGUCGUAACAAGGUUUCCGUAGGUGAACCUGCGGAAGGAUCAUUACAGUAAAACAAAGGUCGCGUGCAGCUGCUGGCCCUCCGGGGCAUGUGCGCGCCGCGUCCGCAUCCUUCUCACACCCCCCUGUGCACCUUUGCGUGGGGUGCCGUCGGCCGCCGCCUUCGGUGCUCCGCGUCUUCUUACACACACCACGUAUGUCUUCAGAAUGUACUUGCGAUAAAAAGCAAAUCUAAUACAACUUUCAACAACGGAUCUCUUGGCUCUCGCAUCGAUGAAGAACGCAGCGAAAUGCGAUAAGUAAUGUGAAUUGCAGAAUUCAGUGAAUCAUCGAAUCUUUGAACGCACCUUGCGCCCCUUGGUAUUCCGAGGGGCACGCCUGUUUGAGUGUCGUGAACUUCUCACCCCCACCCCCUUUCUUUGAAGGGCUGGCUUUGGGGUGUGGAAAUGGAGGCCUUGCCGGAAUCCUGUCAACGGGAAUCGGCUCCUCUGAAAUGCAUGAGUGGAGACCCCAGUGUUGGCCUUUGGUGUGAUAAUUGUCUACGCCAUAGGGCUGCGCGUCGUGGGACCUGCUUCUAACUUGCCGUCGUCGUCGUCUGACUCUUUGCAGAGAAAGGGGGGCGUGCGUGGCUUUUAUCGAAACUUGACCUCAAAUCAGGCGGGACUACCCGCUGAACUUAAGCAUAUCAAUA